rnacentral:miRNA from 1 species
CCUGUUGUAAGUAAGCUCCA